AACACAGGUGUGCAUGGCUGUCGUCAGCUCGUGUCGUGAGAGUUGGGUUAAGUCCCGCAACGAGCGCAACCCUUGUCCUUAGUUGCCAGCACGUAAUGGUGGGAACUUAAGGAGACCGCCGGUGACAAACCGGAGGAAGGUGGGGAUGACGUCAAGUCAUCAUGGCCCUUACGGCCAGGGCUACACACGUACUACAAUGGGAAGGACAGAGGGCUGCGAACCCGCGAGGGCAAGCCAAUCCCAGAAACCUUCUCUCAGUCCGGAUCGGAGUCUGCAACUCGACUCCGUGAAGUCGGAAUCGCUAGUAAUCGCAGAUCAGCAUUGCUGCGGUGAAUACGUUCCCGGGCCUUGUACACACCGCCCGUCACACCAUGGGAGUUUGUUGCACCAGAAGCAGGUAGCCUAACCG
rnacentral:rRNA from 1 species